rnacentral:lncRNA from 1 species
AUGCCAGAGGCUCCUCGGGGUCACCCCUCCACAGACUCGGGCUGCCGUGCCCCUGACAUUGCGGCCAGCCUUGUCCCUGUGGCCACCACCCCAAGCGCCUCAUUCAGGACAGCUGCCGCCAGGUGGGACGAUGUGGCGGGGCCAGGCCUCGUGGCAGGGGUCAGGAUGGCUCCCUGGGCACCUGCCCCGCUGGGCAAAGCCGGGGCGCUCGGAGCGCAGCCGAAGGCAGAUGGCACAGGUGUGUCCUUCCCUGACCGAGGUGCAGACCGGUGGAUGUGGGCCCUGCCUGGCCUCCGCUGGCCGCGCAGACGGGAGCACAGGCCGCGCCUCUGGAAGCCUUGCUCCCCGCAGUUGGCCGCCCGGCCUGGGGCUCAGCUGCCAGCACCGGAGGACACUUGUGGCCAGCGUGUGCGUGGCCGGACUUUCAAGGCCGGGGCUCCAAGACAGCUCCGCAUUGGCCAACCUCCGUGCCUCAGUUUCCCCCUGUUCCCAGGGACAGUGACGCCUGGCUCUCGGGGCUGCAGGCUCUCAUGCUGCCCGGCCGGACCUGGCUGGGGCCACGGCUGCUCUGCCUUCCUGUCCCGGGCGUGUCUCUGGCCGAGCAUUUCCCAGGGAGCAGGGGUGUCAGGAUCCGGCCUGAGUGCCUUGGUGAGGGGGGUGCCCACCAUCCCCACCUCGGUCCCAGGAACACCCUCGGGGGCCCCGCCGGCCCUGCCCGCAUCGGCCUUAAGCCCCCAGAGGGUCCCUGGGUCAGUUGGAGGCACCGGCCCUGCCCUGCCAGCAGCCUGUGACCAGCGGGAAGGCCCCGGUGGCCGCCUCACCUGGCCGGGCGCCCUGGCUGAUCCGGGGUCUGGGGGUGGUGGGAGCCCCCCUGAGCGUGGGAGGUUGCUGCCCGUCGGUGGCCCAGGAUGCCGGCUGACCGCAGCCCCCCGCGUCAAGUUGAAGCACAAAUCCUCAAAAAUGGUAGACUCUGCAGCCGGGGGCCACCGGCCAGGCACCACGGGCCCCCAGGAAGGCCCCUCCCCUGAGGGCCAGAUGUCCCACCCCUCCUGGAGGCCGGGCGGGAGGGGAUGCCAGGUGGGGGCCUGGCCGGGGGUUGCGAGGUGUCCUGUGGGCAACUGA